rnacentral:rRNA from 1 species
AUACGUAGGGGGCAAGCGUUAUCCGGAUUUACUGGGCGUAAAGAGUGCGUAGGUGGUUUCUUAAGCGUGGGGUUUAAGGCUACGGCUUAACCGUAGUUCGCCCCAUGAACUGGGAGACUUGAGUGCAGGAGGGGAAAGUGGAAUUCCUAGUGUAGCGGUGAAAUGCGUAGAUAUUAGGAGGAACACCAGUGGCGAAGGCGACUUUCUGGACUGUAACUGACACUGAGGCACGAAAGCGUGGGGAGCAAACAGGAUUAGAUACCCUGGUAGUCCACGCCGUAAACGAUGAGCACUAGGUGUCGGGGAGACAAUCCUCGGUGCCGCAGUUAACGCAUUAAGUGCUCCGCCUGGGGAGUACGUUCGCAAGAAUAAAACUCAAAUGAAUUGGCGGGG